ensembl:lncRNA
GUGAGGGCUUCAACAUGUCAAUUUUGAGGGGACACCAUUCAGUCCAUACCAGCCAGGAAGACAAUUGCAGAGAUAGAAUGGGAUCAUAAAAAAUAAUCUAAAAGAAAGCAGGAAAAGGGAACAAGGGAACAGAUGGGACAAGUUGAAAACAAAUAGCAGGAUCGUGGGCGUCCAUCCAUCCUAUGGGUGAAUACAUUAACCACCUCCCACUCCACAAGCCAGGCCUCAGCCAAGAGUGAAAGGUUGGGGGCAGGGGAAGGUCCACGGAGAAGCCUUUUAGUGGAUGAGAGACUGAGGUUACAAUUUAGACCUUUGGGCCUUUAUACCACAAAAUGAGACACUUCUGACAGGGAAAAUAACCCACCGAGCUAUGGAACCCGCCCAAGAAAACACAGAGCUUUAGUGAAACAGGGGGGCUUCCCAGGUGAUGCCAUGAUAAAGAGUCUGGCUGGCAAUGCAGGAGACGCAAGAGACUCUGGUUUGAUCCCUGGGUUGGGAAGAUCUCCUGGAGAAGGAGACAGCAACCCACUCUAGAAUUCUUGCCUGGAGAAUCCCAUGGACAGAGGAGCCUGUGGGUUACAGUCCAUGGGGUCCCAAAGAGUUGGACACGAGCAUAGCACAGCGGUGAAACAGGGCAUCACAGCAGAGAAGGCACAAGAGUACAGGUGAAGACAGGAUAAGCAUCAGUGCCGGGCUUCCCAGGUGGCUCAACCGUAAAGAAUCCGCCUGCAGUGCAGGAGAAGUGGGUUGGAUCCCUGGGUCGUGACGAUCCCCUGGAGGAGGGAAAUGGCAACCUACUCCAGUAUUCUUGCCCGGGAGAUUCCAUGGACAGGGGAGCCUGGCAGGCUCCAGCCCAUGGGGUUAUAAAAAAGUGGGACACGACUGAACAACCAGUCAGUAACACCAACAGUAAAGCAGCAUGUUCAUGGCAAGGCAGCGCAGGGGAGACUGGCUUGAAGACCAGGGGCAGAGGAGUGCGGAAUGAGGCCACUAACUGGGCUUCCUUCCUCUCCACCCCCAGGCCCAAGCUCCCAGGCUUUUCAGAGCUAACUGGCUAGAGAACAGUGGGUAUCUGGCCAGGCAAGGGGGUCCUGAGGCUCAGUUUAGUCCCCACAAAGAGGACCGGGGUAGGUCCCAUCUGUGACCAUGAUGCAGCCCUCUGUCCCCAUGCCAGGGGGGUAGAGCCACCCUGCUCCUGGGUCUGUGAGUCCAUUUCCAGGAGCACAGUGGACCCUCAGCUCCCUGGGGCACAAUGCCCACCAGAGCACGUGCAUUGGGAGCCUGCAUUAGGAGAACAUUCUCAGCAGGGGCGAUCAAACAUACAAACAAGAGCCAGCCCGUGAAUGACCAUAGAGC